UGUGGGUUAGUCCGCACGAGCGCACCCUAUCCUUAGUUGCUAGCAGGUAAUGCUGAGAACUCUAAGGAGACUGCCGGUGAUAAACCGGAGGAAGGUGGGGACGACGUCAAGUCAUCAUGGCCCUUACGUGUAGGGCUACACACGUGCUACAAUGGCGCAUACAGAGUGCUGCGAACCUGCGAAGGUAAGCGAAUCACUUAAAGUGCGUCGUAGUCCGGAUUGGAGUCUGCAACUCGACUCCAUGAAGUCGGAAUCGCUAGUAAUCGUGGAUCAGAAUGCCACGGUGAAUACGUUCCCGGGCCUUGUACACACCGCCCGUCACACCAUGGGAGUGGGCUGCAAAAGAAGUGGGUAGUUUAACCUUCGGGAGAACGCUCACCACUUUGUGGUUCAUGACUGGGGUGAAGUCGUAACAAGGUAGCCCUAGGGGAACCUGGGGCUGGAUCACCUCCUU
rnacentral:rRNA from 1 species